rnacentral:tRNA from 1 species
GGCACGGUGCGCCAAUGGAAGAGCGGCGAGCUUUAAAUCCUCGCGGUUGCGGGUUCGACUCCCGCUCGUGUCA